AGAGUUUGAUCCUGGCUCAGAAUCAACGCUGGCGGCAGGCCUAACACAUGCAAGUCGAACGGUUGUAGCAAUACAGCAGUGGCGCACGGGUGAGUAACGCGUGGGAACGUGCCCUUUAGUACGGAAUAACCUCGGGAAACUGAGGCUAAUACCGUAUACGCCCUUCGGGGGAAAGAUUUAUCGCUAAAGGAUCGGCCCGCGUAAGAUUAGGUAGUUGGUGGGGUAAUGGCCUACCAAGCCUACGAUCUUUAGCUGGUCUGAGAGGAUGAUCAGCCACACUGGAACUGAGACACGGUCCAGACUCCUACGGGAGGCAGCAGUGGGGAAUAUUGGACAAUGGGCGAAAGCCUGAUCCAGCCAUGCCGCGUGAGUGAUAAGGCCUUAGGGUUGUAAAGCUCUUUCGCCGAUGAAGAUAAUGACUGUAGUCGGAGAAGAAGCCCCGGCUAACUUCGUGCCAGCAGCCGCGGUAAUACGAAGGGGGCUAGCGUUGUUCGGAAUCACUGGGCGUAAAGCGUGCGUAGGCGGCUUACCAAGCCAGAGGUGAAAUCCCAGAGCUCAACUCUGGAACUGCCUUUGGAACUGGUAAGCUGGAAUACUGGAGGGGAUAGCGGAAUUCCUAAUGUAGAGGUGAAAUUCGUAGAUAUUAGGAGGAACACCGGUGGCGAAGGCGGCUAUCUGGACAGUUAUUGACGCUGAGGCACGAAAGCGUGGGGAUCAAACAGGAUUAGAUACCCUGGUAGUCCACGCCGUAAACGAUGAGUGCUAGCCGUUGGAGGCUCAGUCUUCAGUGGCGAAGCUAACGCAUUAAGCACUCCGCCUGGGGAGUACGGUCGCAAGAUUAAAACUCAAAGGAAUUGACGGGGACCCGCACAAGCGGUGGAGCAUGUGGUUUAAUUCGAGGCAACGCGAAGAACCUUACCAGGCCUUGACAUGCCGGUCGCGGAGACCAGAGAUGGACUCCUUCAGUUUGGCUGGACCGUGCACAGGUGCUGCAUGGCUGUCGUCAGCUCGUGUCGUGAGAUGUUGGGUUAAGUCCCGCAACGAGCGCAACCCUCGUCCUUAGUUGCUAACAUUUAGUUGAGAACUCUAAGGAAACCGCCAGCGUUAAGCUGGAGGAAGGUGGGGAUGACGUCAAGUCCUCAUGGCCCUUACGGCCUGGGCCACACACGUGCUACAAUGGCAGUGACAAUGGGCUGCGACCCUGCAAGGGGAAGCGAAUCUCAAAAAGCUGUCUCAGUUCGGAUUGUCCUCUGCAACUCGAGGGCAUGAAGUCGGAAUCGCUAGUAAUCGUAGAUCAGCGUGCUACGGUGAAUACGUUCCCGGGUCUUGUACACACCGCCCGUCACACCAUGGGAGUUGGUUCUACCUUAAGCUGCUGAGCUAACCUUCGGGAGGCAGGCAACCACGGUAGGGUCAGUGACUGGGGUGAAGUCGUAACAAGGUAGCCG
rnacentral:rRNA from 1 species